CAGAGGGUCACUCAUGGUAGCCUCUAUACAAAAAGAUAGACUGGAUAUUGAAGAGUGUCCGGUUGAUGGAGGCACCACAACCAGAAAAAGGUUGGACCAAGCAUCAGGCCAGAAUUCCACAUGAGUUGGCAUCUUUUGACAAGAUUUCCCAAAAAUGAAUACAAUCUUGGUACACUUCCAAUAUCUCUGAAUCUGAAAUAUCUGCAAAAAAAAAAUCCCAAAUUGCGGAAAAGCAACAGCAGGCCUGUUUUGAGACCUUCUCCACGUGUCAAGAAGUACCUGUGAGGUUCUGCCAGGAAGUGGAGCCACAGGACACUUGGGAUAAACCUCAACCUGAAAAAUCAAGAGGACACGUUUUCUAUGCUCAGGCAUUUCAAACGAGACAGAGCACCACAUAAGUUGUUUGUCUCACUUCAGCUUUUCCAGUGAGCAUGUCUGAUGGAAACGAGCAAGAGGAUGCUUUGGGGACCACACAUUGAGCUAUUGGGUACAAUCCCUUAGAAGUCACAACCUCUGAACUGAAAACCUCAAGUACCCACCAGGCUAGAGCAAAGAGGACCUACCUACUGUGUUGAGCUGUGCAGAGGGCAAUAUUGAAGAAGCUUAAUGAGCUGGACAUGAAGAUUAACCAUCUAACUUCAGUGGUCCAGUCUCUUGCUUCGGCCAAGUGUUCAAAUGGUGGUGGACAUUGAGAAUUACAUCUUUCCUAUUGAAACAAUGGAAGACCUUGAACAACUGGAAAAGGCAAUUAGCCGAAAAUCCAAUGAUGGAAAAGAUGAUAAAGAGGUUAUCCAUCAGAGGAGGACAAACUCUAAAAAUUUAGAGUUAUGGCGUAUUUGCUCCAAAGUGUUCGUUCCAGUAGCCAAACAGCUCAACUGGUGUGGAGGAGAAAAAAAAGAGGACUAAAAAACACAAAUAUUGGGACACUUGUGAUAGGUACGUCAAAUGUCUUACAAUGAACAGUUUAGGCAAUCAUUUUAAAGAUGGAACUGUCAUUACAUCUUUAUAAGCUUAUAUGAGC